AGUGAGGAAUAUUGGUCAAUGGGCGCAAGCCUGAACCAGCCAUCCCGCGUGCAGGAAGAAGGCGCUAUGCGUUGUAAACUGCUUUUGCAGGGGAAGAAAACACCGGUCGUGACCGGGACUGAAAAGUACCCUGUGAAUAAGCAUCGGCUAACUCCGUGCCAGCAGCCGCGGUAAUACGGAGGAUGCAAGCGUUAUCCGGAUUCAUUGGGUUUAAAGGGUGCGCAGGCGGACUGAUAAGUCAGUGGUGAAAUUUUGCAGCUUAACUGUAAACGUGCCAUUGAUACUGUCAGUCUUGAGUUUGGUCAAGGUAGGCGGAAUGUGUAAUGUAGCGGUGAAAUGCUUAGAUAUUACACAGAACACCGAUUGCGAAGGCAGCUUACUGGGCCACGACUGACGCUCAUGCACGAAAGCGUGGGGAGCAAACAGGAUUAGAUACCCUGGUAGUCCACGCCGUAAACGAUGAUCACUCGCUGUUGGCGACACACUGUCAGUGGCUAAGCAAAGGCAUUAAGUGAU
rnacentral:rRNA from 1 species